rnacentral:rRNA from 1 species
AAACCGUGGUGGACGUGUAUUCGCAUAAGCAAGCUUGACUGUGAGACUGACAGGUCGAACAGAUACGAAAGUAGGCGAAAGUGAUCCGGAUCUUCCAAAUGGAAGGGGAUCCGCUCAACGGAUAAAAGUUACUCCGGGGAUAACAGGCUAAUGGAAUCUAAGCGUUCAUAGCGACGAUUCCGUUGGGCACCUUGAUAUCGACUCGUUGCAUCUUGAGGCUGUGGAAGGUUUCCUAUUUACUGCAACCGUAAGAAAUAUGGGAGAUACUGUCCUUA